CCUUGAAAAUGAUGAAAAUCUUGUUUCCAUACUCUCUCACUAGUUAGAUGUUUUAGAGAGAGAAAGAGGAAGCUUUAUUAAUAGCUUGAGAGCUUUUGGAAAGAAGUUCAAAGUUACAAAGCUAUCAAGGUGCUAACGAAGCCCCAUCACCCCAAUUGGAUCAUUAGGGGGAUUAAGAGCCGACUAAAGGCUCAACGAAUACCGAUUAAGAGACAGCCGGUAACUAGGAUGGGGUGUCCUCGUGGACUU